GACGAACGCUGGCGGCGUGCUUAACACAUGCAAGUCGAACGGAAAGGCCCUGCUUUUGUGGGGUGCUCGAGUGGCGAACGGGUGAGUAACACGUGAGUAACCUGCCCUUGACUUUGGGAUAACUUCAGGAAACUGGGGCCAAUACCGGAUAGGAGCUCCUGCUGCAUGGUGGGGGUUGGAAAGUUUCGGCGGUUGGGGAUGGACUCGCGGCUUAUCAGCUUGUUGGUGGGGUAGUGGCUUACCAAGGCUUUGACGGGUAGCCGGCCUGAGAGGGUGACCGGCCACAUUGGGACUGAGAUACGGCCCAGACUCCUACGGGAGGCAGCAGUGGGGAAUAUUGCACAAUGGGCGGAAGCCUGAUGCAGCAACGCCGCGUGCGGGAUGACGGCCUUCGGGUUGUAAACCGCUUCCGCCUGUGACGAAGCGUGAGUGACGGUAAUGGGUAAAGAAGCACCGGCUAACUACGUG
rnacentral:rRNA from 1 species